CUCCAGUGUGACCUCAUCUCAGCUAAUUACAUCUGCAGCAACCCUAUUUCCAAACACGGUCGGAUUCGGAGGUUAGGACUCAUACAGAUCUUUCUGGGGACACAGUUCGACCCGUUGUCACCAACAGGUGACAAAAGGAGUUUUGCCCUGAUCCUUCAUACAAUGGGUCCAUUGGGACCAUGGACCAGAUGGGGUUAUGGCUUCAGUCCCAGAGUGGGUAUAAUGACGUCAGUGACACUGCCACUGACCUGAGCUGUGUGGGGCCGGCAGGUUCCUGUGACAACCCCCUUUAGUCCUUCAGCGCAGCAAGUACACAAGACGCAAUGGCCGUGGAGUGACUAGAGCCCGUCAGAGCCCGAUCACAUGCGCACCAGGAACGCUCCCUGUCCACGCUGCCACACAGCCCCAGGCCAGAGGACGCUUCCCUCCCCUCCCAUACACAGAAGAUGCCGGGAGCCGUUGCCUUUAAUCUGCCUGGGACACCAGGAUGCCUCCCGCUCCCCGCUCAGGAUUAGCUCCUGGAUGCCUUGGGGAGACACGGGCAUGUGGGAGUGGAGCAGAGUCCCACAGAUGACCACGGAAGAGUCGUCCCGGGCUCUUCCGUGUGCUCCCUCGGCACCCACGCUCCCGGCCGCCUCAGUGAACUUGGGCUCGGCCCUAAGGAAGAGCACGUUUAUGUGUCCUUUUGGGCUUUCUUAAUGCAAAUACAAAUAUGUAUUUCCUCCUCAUAGUGGGCGGAAUGAUGGCCCCCAAAAUGAUAUGUCUGCAUCCUAACCCCUGGUACCUGUGAUGUGGCUUAACUGGGGAAAAGGGUCUUUGCCGGUGAAAGUAAAUUAAGGAUCUAGAGACGAGACCAGAGGCAGAGACUAGAGAGAUGCAGCUGCAAGCCAAAGGAUGUCUGGAGCCGUGGAAGCUGGAAGAGGCAGGAAGGAUCCUCCCCUGGGGCCUCCACAGGCAGCACGGCCCUGCCCACGCCCCGAGUCAGACUCGUGGCCUCUAGGACUGUGAGAGAAUAGAUUUCUGUCAUUUUAGGCACCAAGUUUGUGGUAGUUUUUUACAGCAGCCACAGGAAACUAAAUACUCCAUUUCCUACAUAAAAAGUAGCAUAACGUAAGGCAGUUCUGCUCCACUCCCCCGCCCCCGACCCCCCGCUUGCUUUUAGGUCCUACAGCCCAGAGAGUGCUCCACAGCGUGCAGGGAGCAUUGCCCUUCCUCUUUGACAACUGCCUGGUAUUUGGUGGUGUGGAUGAACUCUGGCUUCUUAACCGGCCCUUGAUGAUCUCAUCUCCUGCCCUUGCCAGUCAGGGGCAGUGAAUAACGUGGCAUAAAAUCUUUGCUUAAGAGCAUAGGUGUGUCUGCGGGGAAAUCUCCAGAUCUGACUAGGAUCACAGCUGAAUGCACUUGUGGUUUUGGUUGAUACUGCUAAGUUGCCCUUCAUGGGCAUAUCACACCUUGAGAGAGCCACAGCUGGAGGGAGUUCUCUUUUUGCCCCUUGGCCUUUUCCUUCUUCUUGUGUAGAUGUGACAGCUGGAGCCCCAGCAGCCUCCUUCUGACCAUGAGGAUUAAAGCUGAGUCUAAGAAUGGCAGAAUGUGCCAGCCUCAAAUGGCCCCUGUGGACUCAUCUUAGGAGAGAGGAUGAACCCCCACUAUAUGGAAAGCACUGUUACUAGCAGCCAAAUCUAGGAGGCAUGAACUUGGUGAGUUUCUUUGGAAGCUGUCAUCACUCUCUGAGAGCCUCUCAGGCUGACCCUUGAGCAGGCUCUGCAGCUGGUCCAGGUUCAGGGGAAGCUACUCUGUCUCAGGACAUAGUCACUUUGACAGUGUACAGUGUCCCUGGAAAGAGAGACGUCCUUGGGGCCUGUGCUGCAUCCCGAAAGGAGUAUCUCAGGACAGACUCUGAGCCAUGCCCUCUCCUGAAAGUGACUGGUCCCCUUUGAGGACGACCCGAGGCCUUCUGGGCCCUGGCAGGGAUGAACCAUGUGACUAGGGAAGCCGGGGACCAGGUGCCCUGAACUGCCCAUCAUAAACUGGGAGUUAUCGAUUCACUGGCUGUAAAGUUGGGCGUGUGCAGCCGAGCUCCACUGUCCAGAGAAGACAGCACAUCGGGCGAGCAGGUGGCAAACAGCAAGCCCAUUGGCAGGAGCAGGUGGCCCAGGCACCUCGCUGUACGCAUGCCUUCUGCCAUCCCUUCCUCACCUGCACCCUUAGCCUCAGGUGCACACACCUGCCCCCUGGUGAUGGAGUUGGGGGGAUAGACUAUGGAUAACUCUGCCCGAUGCCGUGGCCCCAGCUGGGAAGACAGCCCACGGUCCCACCAGGGGUGAGAGGGAAGGGAGAGAGGGGAGAGCCUCUGUGGGCGGAGAAUUUGAAGCCAUAUGUCUGGCCUCUCACGGCCCCUGAAGAAACUCCGUGGAACAGCAGCUGGUGUGUGGAGGCAGAUGGUCAGAGAUGUGGCGAGAGCAGGACUGGGGAGCAGGGGCCUAGGAGGGGCACAAGGGGCAUGCGCUGGAGUGGAGGCAGGGGCGUGGAGGGCCCCCGACACCAAGGAAGCUCCAAGUCCCCCAGGGCCUGCUCAGUGGGGUCAGGAACAAGGGCGCCAUGGUGGUAGGGACAGAGGCCCUACAUGGGCUCGACAGCAGCAACUCCCCGCCUCGAGGCUCGCUGGCUGCGGCCACUUCUGAGUGCCCCGUCUGCCCCCUGCAGGGACCACGAAAGAGCCCGAUACAGCACCGUGCCCCAGAGCAAGCAGCCCGCCCUCCAACAGCAUUGAGGGGGGAGCCUUGCAGAGGUGGUGCUGGGGUGUGGAGGCCCCUCACACAAGGGCCUCGGUCCCGGACGGGCAGCGUGGUGCAUCACAGUAGGGUCCUUGGGAGCCCACCGUCCCUCAGCCGCACCGGGGUCACCUUAGCCCACCCCAGAUGCACUCCCAGCUGCUGGAGCACACACCUCGAGUCCAGAAUGUCGGGUCCAUGUGCUCACACUGGCGCUCCCAGCCGGCCCACACUUGCUCAAGCACCCAAGCCCAUCCUCACACGCAAUCCAGACUUUUGCUCACAUUCCUUUGAAAAGUCACUUGGGUGUGGACUCUGGCUCAGUUUCCCCGAGUCUGACGUGGCUCGUGGCUCUCGGCCCCCGGGGUGAGGUCUGGUGGAUGGUAAGGGAUGGCGUGUGGGCGCCAGGCUUUGGAAGUGCCCUCCUAAGGCAAGGGGGCACCCGUGGGUGGUAGCAUCAGGCUGGCAAUGCGGAGGGGUGUCGGGGAAAGGCCUCGUUAGGUCUGUCCGGUGCCACAGAAGCUGCUCCAGCCCACGGUCUCCAAAUGCCUCGUGCCAGCCAUUGCUCAGCCUGCUGACAGGUGAGCUUUCCCUUCCCUGCUCACUCAGCGCCCACCUUGGGGAGGGGGGCAGUCCACGGCGGGUUGGGGAGACCAGCCCGGGCGUCCUCUGGAUACACAUGUCCUUCCCUUCCAGCACAGGGGAAGAGGAGCGGUGCUGAGGCCCUCCAGCCACCUCUGAUGGGGCGCGGGGCUCAGGGCCACCGUCUGAGUGGAUGGAAGCCUCGUCAACCGCCGUGUGGCAGGGCUGCUGAUGUUUUGGCCUCCACCUCUCUGUGCCUGGGUCUUAUUUCCUCAUUAGCUUCCAACUCAAGAGGAGGGGAGAUGUGGUUCGUCAUCAUGGAAGCCCCAGUGCUCAGGACAACCCUAACUAGCCGACUUGCCCUGGGCCCUGGGAGGCCAAGCAGCUUCCCAGAGCCUGAGGGCCAGGCUCCAAUGCCAGGCGUGCAGGUGUGGCUGCGGGCACAAGUGCCCACCAGGAGUCCACCUGCACGAAGAGGAAAGAGGACCACAGCGCUUUGCAUUUUCUUGGGAUGGAUAACACCGCACACGAUGUCUCGCCACAGGGCAGUUUACUCUCCUGCCUGCUGUCCCAGCACGGCCACAGGAUGCCAUGAUCUGACAGUCCGCAGAGCAUCGCAUCGCUCCCCUGUUGUGAGGAUGUCAGAUCAUGGGACCAGGUGACACUGUGGAUGCUCUGUCCAGACACCUCCCAGUCCCAAGGGUGGAGACAGGUGGACAAAGCGUCUGGUGGUUUGCUGCCAAUCCUUGGCAUCCCUCGGCCUGUGAAUGUGUCACUCCAAUCUCCGCCUCUGUCAUCGAUCCGCCUUCUCCCCUCGCGUGUCUCUGCCUCACGCGGCGCGUUCACACGGCUCUCCUAGAUGGACACCACUCACGCUGGAUCAGGGCCCACCCUAAUGACCUCAUCUUUACUCAAUUAUAUCAUCCGCAAAACUCUAUUUCCAAGUAAGGUCACGUUCACAGGUACUGGGCGAGGAUUCCAACCUAUCUUUCUGAGGGAUGCAGUUCGACCCACACCAGCACGUGACCAAAUGAGAGCCAAUGUGAUUUUUCUAGAACUGGUGGGAGAGAGGUACGUGGGCUUCUUUUCUCCUACUGUGAUGGUGGGAGCCUAGGGCUGCCACUAUGCCACAUAUAACCCGAGAAUGCAGCCAAACGGCAGGAAAUAUAGCCAAGAAAUGGAGAAGAAAAGAAGCCAAAGAAGCAGCGUGACUCUGUUUGAUCCCCCGGACUAAGCUGUUCCUGAAGGCAUACUUCCCCCGGGCUUCUCACAAUGCAAGCAAACAAAUUCCCUUUUUUGCCUAAACCACUUUCUGUGAAAUUUUCUGUCAUGAGGAAUCCCAGCAAUCCCAAACGGUUGAGAAAUUGCCACAAGGCACGGGGUUUACUAGCCGUGGCCUGAGACAGAGCGGGCCGGAGGGAGGGCAGGGAAGCAAUCCCCCGCUCGGGGAAGUUGGUGAUAAACUUGGCCUGGACGAGGGGCAAGUGACUGUGCCUCCCACCCCUGCAUUUGUUUCAAGUCAUUCUGGGCUGGGUCACGGGCCGGGCUGGGUGGACAGUCAGAGAAAGUCGUGACUCUGGUCGCAGCCCUGGAAGGAUGGGUCGAAAAUAGACUGAUGCUACACAGCUCCCACGAGGACUGGCAUGGUAUUGGCAGGGAGGCCUGAGGCCACAGAGAGAUUCUGGAAGCUGUUUUUCCCCUGGGUAACCCCUAAGCCACUUGCUGAAGUGGUCUGUCUUUGAGAUGCUGCUCACAGGGGGGUGUUUUGUCCCCAUGAUGGCAGGUCAAGGGGAUGCUCCCAGCAAGGCACCGGCUCUCCCAGAUGACAGGAGUCAUGGCUACUUCUGUCCAGCCGGAUGUGAGAGGCACUGUGGCCCCUGGCCCUGGGUUCUUCUGCCCUGGUCCCCUUCACAGGGACUGCAGUGUAACCCACACAGUCCCUCCCCACCCUGCAUACUGGAGUGGACAAAUGGGUCACCCAGUGGCCGAGGGGAGCACCCGGGUACGCGACUUUGGGAGUGAGAUUGUGUUACUCGCUGAGAUGUCAUGUGGUCAUCUUCCAGAGGGGCCUGAGCACGAGGUGGGGCGGCUUUUGCGUGCCAUGCACUUUAAGUGUGUGUGGGGGGAGAAAGGCGUGUGGACAUUGGGCAGCCAGGGGUGGACGGGAAACGUGUGCUGGCUGCCCCUCGGGCCACCCCUCUGCCUGGGCACGGUCAGUGCAGGGAGGGGCAGGUGUCCUCUGUACCAACAGGCCCACGAGACCCUUCCCUGGUCUUCCGGGAGAGAAGCGAGAGGUUUCCUUUCUUCCCGCUGGGCCUGUGGUGUUGAGCCUGGUGCGCCUGGAGCUGCCAGGACACGCAGGCUGAGACUGAGAGUGGAGCAGCAGGGGACAGGCAGUGCACGGGCCCUGGGGACACCAUCCCCGCCCUGCAUCAGCCAAGCCCCUCUCUCAGCUUCCCGGUAAUUUCCAGUCAACAGUCUCUCUUUUUUAAGCCGGUUUGAGCUGGGUUUCUGGUGACUGACGGAUGGAGCCCUUCCCUCCGUGGGGCCGCAGGGGCCUCUGCAGGACCUGCCACGUGACUGCUUCUUCUCCAGCUCUGAGAUGGGGGCCCUCGUGGGGUAGGGGUGCAGGCCCUCGGGUCUCAGGUCCCCCCAGACUGUCUGGGCUUGUCUAUCACAAAGACACAUGCACUGGUAAGUGACCAACUCUCACUCUGCCGUGCCUUCUCCUAGGAAAUCUUUGCAUCUUGCAGAGAAGAGCCUUUUCUUAUUUCGCAGGCACCUCCUGCCAAUCAGGAAGGUGGCAAAUGGAUCUCUGCCACCUGCCUGCCCCACCCUCCCCCACCAUGCCAGCUCUUUCCUCCAGGGCC